CCUACGGGGGGCAGCAGUGGGGAAUUUUCCGCAAUGGGCGAAAGCCUGACGGAGCAACGCCGCGUGAGGGAGGAAGGUCUUUGGAUUGUAAACCUCUUUUCUCAAGGAAGAAGUUCUGACGGUACUUGAGGAAUCAGCCUCGGCUAACUCCGUGCCAGCAGCCGCGGUAAUACGGGGGAGGCAAGCGUUAUCCGGAAUUAUUGGGCGUAAAGCGUCCGCAGGUGGUCAGCCAAGUCUGCUGUCAAAUCAGGUUGCUUAACGACCUAAAGGCGGUGGAAACUGGCAGACUAGAGAGCAGUAGGGGUAGCAGGAAUUCCCAGUGUAGCGGUGAAAUGCGUAGAGAUUGGGAAGAACAUCGGUGGCGAAAGCGUGCUGCUGGGCUGUAUCUGACACUCAGGGACGAAAGCUAGGGGAGCGAAAGGGAUUA
rnacentral:rRNA from 1 species